CCACGUGCUUCUCUUUCCGCAG
rnacentral:miRNA from 1 species